GACGAACGCUGGCGGCGCGCUUAACACAUGCAAGUCGAGCGAGAACCAGACCCUUCGGGUCGUGGGGACGAGCGGCGAACGGGUGAGUAACACGUGGGUAAUCUGCCCUCGAUUCUGGGAUAGCCCGGGGAAACCCGGAUUAAUACCGGAUAGUCUCUUGAGCUCUCGGGCUCUCGAGAAAAGGUAGCUUCGGCCUCCGACCGAGGAUGAGCCCGCGGUGGAUUGGCUUGUUGGUGGGGUAAUGGCCACCAAGGCGACGAUCCAUAGCUGGUCUGAGAGGACGAUCAGCCACACUGGGACUGAGACACGGCCCAGACUCCUA
rnacentral:rRNA from 1 species